GAUGUGGGGGAUAACCAUUGGAAACGAUGGCUAAUACCGCAUGAUGCCUACGGGCCAAAGAGGGGGACCUUCGGGCCUCUCGCGUCAGGAUAUGCCUAGGUGGGAUUAGCUAGUUGGUGAGGUAAGGGCUCACCAAGGCGACGAUCCCUAGCUGGUCUGAGAGGAUGAUCAGCCACACUGGAACUGAGACACGGUCCAGACUCCUACGGGAGGCAGCAGUGGGGAAUAUUGCACAAUGGGCGCAAGCCUGAUG
rnacentral:rRNA from 1 species